CGUCCAUUGCUCACUGUGAAGUCAAUUUACAAUUCUAAAUUUUCCUACUUGACCUUUUCCGACCUUAUACAUGGGUAAUGAGAUCACAGCCGUGUAUGUCUCAAAUAGCAUCCUUCUAUGACCUUAUACGGAAAUGUAUUUGCGCAUAAAACACUAAACAUUCUCUUGACGCCCUGUUUGGCCUCACUCGCGAAGGACAAACUUCUCAAAACAUCUGUACUUUGCUUUCGUGCUCUCUAGAAAUGGCUGGGUUGGUCAAACCGAAGAAAUACGAUUGGAAGGACUCCAACUUGGCGUUGUUCGGCUCAGAUCUCGAGAAAAAGGUAUGAA